UAAUACGUAGGUGGCAAGCGUUGUCCGGAUUUAUUGGGCGUAAAGCGAGCGCAGGCGGUUCUUUAAGUCUGAUGUGAAAGCCCCCGGCUCAACCGGGGAGGGUCAUUGGAAACUGGAGAACUUGAGUGCAGAAGAGGAGAGUGGAAUUCCACGUGUAGCGGUGAAAUGCGUAGAUAUGUGGAGGAACACCAGUGGCGAAGGCGACUCUCUGGUCUGUAACUGACGCUGAGGCUCGAAAGCGUGGGGAGCAAACAGGAUUAGAUACCCUGGUAGUCCACGCCGUAAACGAUGAGUGCUAAGUGUUGGAGGGUUUCCGCCCUUCAGUGCUGCAGCUAACGCAUUAAGCACUCCGCCUGGGGAGUACGGCCGCAAGGCUG
rnacentral:rRNA from 1 species